rnacentral:rRNA from 1 species
GAUGAACGUUGGCGGCGUGCCUAACACAUGCAAGUCGAACGCUGGUAGCAAUAUCAGAGUGGCGCACGGGUGAGUAACACGUAGCUUACCUACCUCAAAGCGCGGGAUAACGUUCCGAAAGGAAUGCUAAUACCGCAUAAGCUCGCGGUCUGUAGAGGGCUGAGAGAAAAGGGGCAACUCACUUUGAGAUGGGGCUGCGGCCCAUCAGCUGGUUGGUGAGGAACGGCUUACCAAGGCAACGACGGGUAGGGGACCUGAGA